rnacentral:rRNA from 1 species
UACGUAGGGGGCAAGCGUUGUCCGGAUUUAUUGGGCGUAAAGAGCGUGUAGGCGGCCAGACAGGUCCGCUGUGAAAACUCGAGGCUCAACCUCGAGAUGUCGAUGGAAACCGUCUGGCUAGAGUCCGGAAGAGGAGUGUGGAAUUCCUGGUGUAGCGGUGAAAUGCGCAGAUAUCAGGAAGAACACCUAUGGCGAAGGCAGCACUCUGGGACGGUACUGACGCUGAGACGCGAAAGCGUGGGGAGCGAACAGG